rnacentral:rRNA from 1 species
UAGGGAAUCUUCGGCAAUGGGGGGAACCCUGACCGAGCAACGCCGCGUGAGUGAAGAAGGUUUUCGGAUCGUAAAGCUCUGUUGUUAAGGAAGAACGAGUGUGAGAAUGGAAAGUUCAUACUGUGACGGUACUUAACCAGAAAGGGACGGCUAACUACGUGCCAGCAGCCGCGGUAAUACGUAGGUCCCGAGCGUUGUCCGGAUUUAUUGGGCGUAAAGCGAGCGCAGGCGGUUAGAUAAGUCUGAAGUUAAAGGCAGUGGCUCAACCAUUGUAGGCUUUGGAAACUGUUUAACUUGAGUGCAGAAGGGGAGAGUGGAAUUCCAUGUGUAGCGGUGAAAUGCGUAGAUAUAUGGAGGAACACCGGUGGCGAAAGCGGCUCUCUGGUCUGUAACUGACGCUGAGGCUCGAAAGCGUGGGUAGCAAACAGG